rnacentral:rRNA from 1 species
AGUGAACGCUGGCGGUAGGCCUAACACAUGCAAGCCGAACGGCAGCACAGUAAGAGCUUGCUCUUACGGGUGGCGAGUGGCGGACGGGUGAGGAAUACAUCGGAAUCUACUUUUUCGUGGGGGAUAACGUAGGGAAACUUACGCUAAUACCGCAUACGACCUACGGGUGAAAGCAGGGGAUCUUCGGACCUUGCGCGAUUGAAUGAGCCGAUGUCGGAUUAGCUAGUUGGCGGGGUAAAGGCCCACCAAGGCGACGAUCCGUAGCUGGUCUGAGAGGAUGAUCAGCCACACUGGAACUGAGACACGGUCCAGACUCCUACGGGAGGCAGCAGUGGGGAAUAUUGGACAAUGGGCGCAAGCCUGAUCCAGCCAUACCGCGUGGGUGAAGAAGGCCUUCGGGUUGUAAAGCCCUUUUGUUGGGAAAGAAAAGCAGCAGGUUAAUACCCCGCUGUCCUGACGGUACCCAAAGAAUAAGCACCGGCUAACUUCGUG